rnacentral:tRNA from 1 species
GCCUGGGUGGCUCAGUCGGUUGGGCGUCUGACUUUAGCUCAGGUCAUGAUCUUGUACUCUGUGAGUUUGAGCCCCACAUCGGGCC